GGGGGCAUAGCUCAGUUGGCUAGAGCAUUGGCUUUGCAAGCCAAGGGUCCAGGGUUCGAAUCCCUGUGCCUCCAGCA
rnacentral:tRNA from 1 species